rnacentral:rRNA from 1 species
CAGAAGGGGGGAUACCCCGGAAAAAUGUUUUAUUCCUUUAAAAAAAGAAACCCCUUGUUUUUUUUUAAAAGUUGGCUUCUCUUUCCUUUUGGAGAGGGCCCCGGGGGUUUUUUACUUUGUGGUGGAAUAAAGCCUCCCACAAGCCAUUUAUCCUCCCCCCCCGGAGAGGUUAUUCGCCCACUUGGGGAUUGAACCCCGCCCCAAUCUCUUACGGGAGGCACCAGUAGGAAUCUUCCCCAAGGGACGCAAUUUUGAAGGAACAACGCCGCGUGAAUGAAGAAGGUUUCGGCUCGUAAAGCUCUGUUGUUAAAGAAGAACGUGGGUAAGAGUAACUGUUUACCCAGUGACGGUAUUUAACCAGAAAGCCACGGCUAACUACGUGCCAGCAGCCGCGGUAAUACGUAGGUGGCAAGCGUUAUCCGGAUUUAUUGGGCGUAAAGCGAGCGCAGGCGGUCUUUUAAGUCUAAUGUGAAAGCCUUCGGCUCAACCGAAGAAGUGCAUUGGAAACUGGGAGACUUGAGUGCAGAAGAGGACAGUGGAACUCCAUGUGUAGCGGUGAAAUGCGUAGAUAUAUGGAAGAACACCAGUGGCGAAGGCGGCUGUCUGGUCUGCAACUGACGCUGAGGCUCGAAAGCAUGGGUAGCGAACAGGAUUAGAUACCCUGGUAGUCCAUGCCGUAAACGAUGAUUACUAAGUGUUGGAGGGUUUCCGCCCUUCAGUGCUGCAGCUAACGCAUUAAGUAAUCCGCCUGGGGAGUACGACCGCAAGGUUGAAACUCAAAAGAAUUGACGGGGGCCCGCACAAGCGGUGGAGCAUGUGGUUUAAUUCGAAGCUACGCGAAGAACCUUACCAGGUCUUGACAUCUUCUGACAGUCUAAGAGAUUAGAGGUUCCCUUCGGGGACAGAAUGACAGGUGGUGCAUGGUUGUCGUCAGCUCGUGUCGUGAGAUGUUGGGUUAAGUCCCGCAACGAGCGCAACCCUUAUUACUAGUUGCCAGCAUUAAGUUGGGCACUCUAGUGAGACUGCCGGUGACAAACCGGAGGAAGGUGGGGACGACGUCAAAUCAUCAUGCCCCUUAUGACCUGGGCUACACACGUGCUACAAUGGAUGGUACAACGAGUCGCGAGACCGCGAGGUUAAGCUAAUCUCUUAAAACCAUUCUCAGUUCGGACUGUAGGCUGCAACUCGCCUACACGAAGUCGGAAUCGCUAGUAAUCGCGGAUCAGCAUGCCGCGGUGAAUACGUUCCCGGGCCUUGUACACACCGCCCGUCACACCAUGAGAGUUUGUAACACCCAAAGCCGGUGGGGUAACCUUUUAGGAGCUAGCCGUCUAAGGUGACAGAGAUGGU